AGUAAAGUACCAGCAAAAAAAAUGAGGUUUACUUCAAAAGGCAGCUGUAAUACUGUUAACUGGUGUAGACUAGUUAUCAGCACUUCUCAAAAGAAAGAAUUGUAAAUAGGGACUAGUUACAUCCUGGGUGUUUUUUUUUUAAUAUAUUGUAUAUAUUGUAGUAUCAGCUAUCCCUGCAAGAAGGACAAGGUACAUUGAGUUUUUCUAGAUCUAUGAAAGAGUAAAUUAUUUGAUUGCCACUUAUAAGAUAAAUUAUUUAAAUGUUUAAUGAUGAUCAUGUAUUUCCAAUGUGUUUUUCAGUUUUCAGGUGACAACCUCUAGUGAUAUACUUCUAAAAACUUACAGAAAGAGAAUACUUCUGUAGCAGAAAUGCUAAGUCUUGGCCUGAACCAGAGAUUUAGCACCUGGUAGGAAGUCAGAGCUAACCUCGGGGAGCUCAGGUGCAUACAAUUUACCCAAGUGACUAGAAGAUGUGUAGCCAGGUUGCACCCUUUUUUAGACCUCAUUUAGAGGUUGUCAGUGGAAGAGAGGGUAUUUUGCUGGAGAUCUCUGUGCUUGAGGCCUUCUGAAGGUAAGUGGUUUCUUUCUUUUGUUUCUGUGCCCAUGGCUGUUGUAUUUGAGCAAAUCCCUGCUUUCUGUAGCCUGGGACUUUGCUGCUCUGCUCUUAUUGAUGUGCUUUCUAUCAUGUUGCAGCUUCCAAAAAGCUACCGUUUUAUGGGAAAGUGAUUAAAGUAUCUUUAGGAAGAAGCUAUCAGGUUAAAAGAGGCCUGUACUCUAUGACAGCCAUUACUCUUGUGUGGAGUGUUUGCUUCAGCAAUUGUGGUUUACAGCUUUCACUGCUGGGUGCUAUACUGGAGAGCUUAAACCAAAUGGAGGAAAGGAGGAAAGGACUUCAAUUCAAUUAUAGUAAAUUAUAGUACUCAAAGUUCAGGAUUUAUCCAAAGGAGAUUGGAAAAGUGGUGAGAAAAUAUUCACAGCUUAUGUUCUCUUCUGGGGAAAGCUGGUUUGCUAGAGAGAUAUGAUUUUUGGCUAAGAUUACUUAAUACCUACCUGUGUUUGUUUAUUUGUUUUUUAAAUGUAGGAUAUACUCACAAACAUUGCUGUGAACAUCCAGAAUCUCAGAAAUGAUUACUUCAAGUAGCUUGGAGUGGAAGGGUUCACUGUGAAGUUCAGGUUUGACUGAGACAGGUAACAGUUCAUUUCUUGAAGCCAGGUGGUUUGGAUCCACACUGAAGUGUCCUCCAUAUCAGUCUGGAAUAUCCUGGAAAUAAGCUUGCAGUUCAGACUAAUCUUUGUGUUGAAAACAGCCAUUUUAAUGCAUUAAUCAUCACAACGGCUUAUAUAAGUCAGUAAAUGUGAGAGUAUGUGUUGCUGCAUUGCAGUUAAUGUAUGUUUGAGUUGAAAAUUCACUUCUAGUUAGUUUUACAUGCAGGAUUUUUCUAGAAUCAAAAAAGAAAACCAUCUUAAAUGUAAAAUUAAGAAUGAUAGCAUUAUAAUUGGAA
rnacentral:lncRNA from 1 species